rnacentral:rRNA from 1 species
UGCAAGUCCGAACGGUGAUCAGGAAGCUUGCUUCUUGUGAGCAGUGGCGAACGGGUGAGUAACACGUGAGUAACCUGCCCCUGACUCUGGAAUAAGCGCUGGAAACGGCGUCUAAUACCGGAUAUGACACGAUCAGGCAUCUGAAUCGUGUGGAAAGUUUUUCGGUCUGGGAUGGACUCGCGGCCUAUCAGCUUGUUGGUGAGGUAAUGGCUCACCAAGGCGAUGACGGGUAGCCGGCCUGAGAGGGCGAUCGGCCACACUGGGACUGAGACACGGCCCAGACUCCUACGGGAGGCAGCAGUGGGGAAUAUUGCACAAUGGGCGAAAGCCUGAUGCAGCGACGCCGCGUGAGGGAUGAGGGCCUUCGGGUUGUAAACCUCUUUCAGCAGGGAAGAAGCGAAAGUGACGGUACCUGCAGAAGAAGCACCGGCUAACUACGUGCCAGCAGCCGCGGUAAUACGUAGGGUGCGAGCGUUGUCCGGAAUUAUUGGGCGUAAAGAGCUUGUAGGCGGUUUGUCGCGUCUGCCGUGAAAAUCCGGGGCUCAACCCCGGACUUGCGGUGGGUACGGGCAGACUAGAGUGUGGUAGGGGGAGACUGGAAUUCCUGGUGUAGCGGUGAAAUGCGCAGAUAUCAGGAGGAACACCGAUGGCGAAGGCAGGUCUCUGGGCCACUACUGACGCUGAGAAGCGAAAGCAUGGGGAGCGAACAGGAUUAGAUACCCCUGGUAGUCCAUGCCGUAAACGUUGGGAACUAGGGUGUGGGUCUCAUUCCACGAGAUCCGUGCCGCAGCUAACGCAUUAA